rnacentral:rRNA from 1 species
UACGUAGGGUGCGAGCGUUGUCCGGAAUUAUUGGGCGUAAAGAGCUCGUAGGCGGCUUGUCGCGUCGGAUGUGAAAGCCCGGGGCUUAACUCCGGGUCUGCAUUCGAUACGGGCAGGCUAGAGUUCGGUAGGGGAGAUCGGAAUUCCUGGUGUAGCGGUGAAAUGCGCAGAUAUCAGGAGGAACACCGGUGGCGAAGGCGCCACUCUGGGCCGGUACUGACGCUGAGGAGCGAAAGCGUGGGGAGCGAACAGG